GUUUUUAGGUAUUUCUGCUCAUGAAAUUUAAAUGGCCGCAGUACUUUGACUGUGCUAAGGUAGCAUAAUCAAUUGUCUCUUAAUUGGAGACUAGAAUGAAUGAAUUUAUGGUUAAAUUCUUUAUUCAUAUAUUUUAUUAAAAUUUAUUUAUUAGGUGAAAAUACCUAAAAUAAUUUAUUAGACGAGAAGACCCCAGGAAUUUAAUUUUUUUUUAUUGGGGCGAUAUUUAAACAAUAUACUAAACUUUAGAUUUUUAAUAAAACGAAAGAUUUUAAUUAAAAAUAAAUUACCCUGGGGAUAACAGCAUAAUUUUUUAUAAAGAUUGUGACCUCGAUGUUGGAUUAGAAAAAAAUUUUACUUAAAGAGUAAUUUUUUAUGUUCUGUUCGAACAAUAAUAAAUUUUCUACGUGAUCUGGUCCCAACC
rnacentral:rRNA from 1 species